GGCAGCUUCCGCCUCCCCAGCUCGCCGGCUCACCUGCCUUCACAGCUCAAACCUAGUAGCUCCGGGGGCAGUCCGCAGUUCGCCAGACCAGUUUUGGGGGACUGGAAACCAAGUUGGUGAAGCCGGGACACAAAAACCAAUUAACAAGUGUUUACUACAACGAGUCAAUCUUUUACCAAGUGACUUGCAUGACUGAAUAAUCUUCCACCAACCGAGGAGAAUUUUGCAAAAUGGCCUAUGAUAGGCCAGUAUAGACACUUAAACAUAAAUCCACAGCAAGCGUGGUGGAAGCUGAGGCAAAAUGGAGAAGGGCAGGAGGAUCCUGAACUGCCAUUCAGAUGACCUGGAGGCCGGCCUUGCAGAGGCAUAAUGUGGACUCUGCAUGAGUUACAUGGGCAGAACACAUGCAUUUUAUCAGGGAAGUACAGGAAAAUUCAAAGGACAUGAAGUACGGUGAGUUGGGGCUGAGGGUUUUUGGGGUAAGGUAGCCAUGCCUAGUGUGGAAAGAACUCUAUGGCCUUCCAGCGUUUUGAAACUGGGAGUUCCUUUUCAUAAAAAAGUGUCACUGGGAUUUCUCUAGAAAUGUUUGCCUGACCUCCCAGACCAAGGCGUACCCACUAAGGAAUGGACUUUGUUGUUAUUCAUCAGCAUCAGGGAAAAGCUCUAUUAGAACAGAAAUGAUCUUAUUCACUAUGGCCCUCAGUAAGCACUUGAGUAACCACUGAAACCAAAUAGGCUAGGCAAAACAUCUAACUAAAAAUAAAGCGGGGACGUCUACUUGUUAGUGGUUGUAGAUUUGAGAAUAAGAGCUAGCAAAUAAGUAACUAAAAUAGUUGCUGGCUUUAUUUGGUGAAUGGGAGAUUAGGACUGAUAAAGGUAUGGCUAGGCCUUGACUUUGCUGAGCCUGAACUGUAGGUGGCAGGAUACUCUCAAAGAUUUUUGAGUCAGUGCUCCUUUUGGCAGUCAACAUGACCUAAGAUGAUCUAAGAGGCCAAGCACAGGGAAGCUGAUGCAAAAUGUGUUUAGAAUGAGCCUGAUAACUUCCACUUGCCCACUUGUUCCAGCUAAUCCUGCUGGGUUGCAUCAUGGGGCUACAGGAGGCAGCUUGAGUAUUGGUCCAACUUUGAAACUUGUCACGCUAUUUUAAUAUGUACUUUUAAACACCCCACCUACACCGGAGACUCCCCAGGAAGCAUC